CCCGAAAAAGGCAAACCCGCCGCGAGACGGGGACGCAAAGCCACGGGUCAGGCAACGACCUGACAGCCGGGCUACCGAAG
rnacentral:ncRNA from 1 species